rnacentral:tRNA from 1 species
GCGAGUGUAGCUUAAUGGUAAAGCCUCUGCCUUCCAAGCAGAUGACGCGAGUUCGAUUCUCGUCACUCGCUC